UACGUAGGGUGCAAGCGUUAAUCGGAAUUACUGGGCGUAAAGCGUGCGCAGGCGGUUGUGUAAGACAGAUGUGAAAUCCCCCGGGCUCAACCUGGGAACUGCAUUUGUGACUGCACAGCUGGAGUGCGGCAGAGGGGGGAUGGAAUUCCGCGUGUAGCAGUGAAAAUGCGUAGAUAUGCGGAGGAACACCGAUGGCGAAGGCAGCUCUCUGGGACGGUACUGACGCUGAGACGCGAAAAGCGUGGGGGAGCGAACAGG
rnacentral:rRNA from 1 species